AGAGUUUGAUCCUGGCUCAGGAUGAACGCUGGCGGCGUGCCUAACACAUGCAAGUCGAACGAAGCACUUUGAUUUCUUCGGAUUGAUAGGUGACUGAGUGGCGGACGGGUGAGUAACGCGUGGGUAACCUGCCUCAUACAGGGGGAUAACAGUUAGAAAUGACUGCUAAUACCGCAUAAGCGCACAGCAUCGCAUGAUGCAGUGUGAAAAACUCCGGUGGUAUGAGAUGGACCCGCGUCUGAUUAGCUAGUUGGUAAGGUAACGGCUUACCAAGGCGACGAUCAGUAGCCGGCCUGAGAGGGUGAUCGGCCACAUUGGGACUGAGACACGGCCCAAACUCCUACGGGAGGCAGCAGUGGGGAAUAUUGCACAAUGGGGGAAACCCUGAUGCAGCAACGCCGCGUGAAGGAUGACGUAUUUCGGUAUGUAAACUUCUAUCAGCAAGGAAGAUGAUGACGGUACUUGACUAAGAAGCCCCGGCUAACUACGUGCCAGCAGCCGCGGU
rnacentral:rRNA from 1 species